rnacentral:rRNA from 1 species
AAACUAACAAGGAUUCCCUGAGUAACGGCGAGCGAAAAGGGAAUAGCCCAGCGCCGAAUCUCUUGUCCUCCGGGCAAGAAGACAUGUGGCGUUUGGGACGAGGCUUUGCCUGUGCAGAAUGGUCAUCCAAGUCCCUCUUGAACGGGGCCAUAGCCCAUGGAGGGUGCUAGGCCCGUAUGAUGACUUUAUUGUGCAGUGCGUCUUGUCCGUAGAGUCGGGUUGCUUGGGAGUGCAGCCCAAAUCAGGUGGUAAACUCCAUCUAAGGCUAAAUAUGACCACGAGACCGAUAGCGAACAAGUACCGUGAGGGAAAGUUGAAAAGAACUUUGAAGAGAGAGUUAAAAAGUACGUGAAACCUCUCGGGGGUAAGCGGGCAGAACUUGCAAGUAUUGGCUGGGAACAUUCAGGCUUAGUGUUGGUGGCUUGUGAUGCACGUUUUGUUGCUCUUUCGGGAGUUGACUGCCGUGUGUUGCUUGUUCUACUGACGAUGCGCCGCAUUUGUUCCUGUCAUCGGGUUGCAUGCGACUUGAUGGUAAUUUAGGUGCUGGGUGUUUGCAAAUCCUUGUGGUUUGAGCCCUGGUCUCCAAAUGCUGUUGUGGUCGUUGAAAUUACGAGUAGGCGCUUGUUGCGGUCAAAAGAUUUCGCGAGUUGGGUGCUUAUGAUAUGUGGACGGGUAACCGUAGCAUGUUGUCUGUACCUGCUGUCAGUGAGAUUUUGUAUUGGCACUGCUCUGAUUGCAAUCUAAAGCAUGCG